UCCAUUCCACAGAAGAUUUUUUUUUUCCAAGGGAAGUCCUUUCUCUGAACCUUGGCCUGGCGUUUCUGUUGAGAAUGCAGCUCACCUUUGUGCUCCCUCAGUCAGCCCUCAGCGUGGAAGGAGACAGGGGCACAAGAAGACAGCUGGUCAGACUUCUCAGGAGGCAUCAUUCCAGGCUGUUUGUCUUGCUGGCUGUGCUCUACAGUGGAGCAAAGAGCAGUGUUGUGCCACAGAAAAUGUAUGGGAGGAUCACGUCCCCAAACUUUCCCAAUGUCUACCCAAACCACAAGGAGAGAAUCUGGAAUAUUACUGUCCCCAAGGGAUAUUCUGUCCGUAUCUACUUCACCCAUUUCAACCUGGAGCUGUCCUACCUGUGUGAAUAUGAUUAUGUGAAGCUGAGCUCUGGUGGGAAGACCUUGGCUACACUGUGUGGAAAGGACAGCACAGACACUGAGGAGGCUCCGGGCAACAAGACAUACAUCUCCCUGGACAACCACCUCGUGGUGCUGUUCCGGUCCGACUACUCCAACGAGAAACCAUUCACGGGCUUUGAGGCCUUCUAUGCUGCUGAAGAUAUUGAUGAGUGCAAACAGCUGUUGGAUGGUGAACCCCUCUGCAAUCAUCACUGUCACAACUACGUGGGGGGCUACUAUUGCAGCUGCAGGGUUGGCUACACACUGCAUGAAAACAAGAGGACAUGCACAGCCCACUGUCAAAGUCUCCUUUUUACUGAGAGAAUUGGAGAAAUCCCUGGCCCUGACUGUCCAACACCUGAUCUCAGCUCCUGCAGCUACAGGAUCCAGAUAGAAGAGGCUUCCUGAUCGUGCUGCAAUUCGUGGAGACCUUUAAUGUGGAGACAGACCCAGGACUGCUGUGCCCCUGUGAUGUCCUUAAGGGAAGUUAAAACAGGAAUACAUGGUCAUUCCUGCUGAAAGCUGCAUUUCACACAUACUCCUUAGUAACUGAACCGAGCUUCCCAGCAGGCAGUUUUGGAAGGUGUAUGCUUAUGGAACUUUAAAAUCACGGGUAGGUGAUGGUGGUUUGGGGAGGCAGAGUCUUAACUCAGCAGUUAUUUUCUAGGCUAAUUUGACAGCUGCACUGUUUAUGUAGAAACCCAGAAUAACUGAUGUGAGAGUUAUGGAUUCCACACAUACAGUGGGAGAGCUGGGGGUGUGUGAAAAUGCAGUGACAAAAUUCAGGGCCAGUGUGAAGCCCUGUUCUGCCCUGGAAAGGUCAACAGUAAUGGUAGGGCCUAAACAUGGAAUUAAACGUGGUCCUUGGCUCUGGGGUGUGCAAAGGGAAUGUCCCUGCCUUACCUGGACACACCUGGAACUUUGCCUGUGGGAAGAAUUUGCAUUUUUAAGGCUGUGUAAGCAAUGCUGAAAGGUACCCAGGUAGGCUUCAUUCAGUCACAGCUGGGAGCUUUCUUACCAUUCCCAAUCCAUCAGUGGAUUUAAUAGAUUAAAUCCUGGGAAUAGCCCCAGGGGGGGAAGUGACACAGUCACCUUCUCAGGAGCCCACAGGGACUCAAAAGCCACCUAAAAUAUGUUGUCUGAGGAUGCCUGUAGAGUGUCACUGCUGCUGUUAACCAGUGCCCAGCUGUUCCAGUCCCUGGUUAUUUGUGCUGUCUCUGGGAUGCAGGUCAAGAUCCACGUGGGGAUGGACACUGGAGACACUGCAGCUCGUGCCUCAGCUCCAGCCUGCAGUGACCUGCCUGGGCUGGGCACAGUCACCCACUCAGCUAUUCCACCUGCACAGGAGCAGGAGCCUGACUUCUACCCAAUGUCCCUCUUUGCUUGAGCUGCAAAAGGAUUUUACCUGCACCAUCAGAACUUCUCCAAAGGUACUGAAAUAUUCCUUUAAGUCUUGUUCAGUGGUUUUCCAGGGAAGACCCAAGACUAUUAAAUCUGAAGUCUUCUGUACUGCUCGUUUCACUUUCACAGCUGAUGAUGCAUCAGUUUCAUCCAUUUUUCUCUUAUUAUCUGAAUAUAAAAAAGUACAUUAGACAUUAUCCUCAAAUCUGGAAACCAAUCCAUUGAUUACGAACUGCACGGUAUAAAAUCAUGAACUCUGAUGAGAAAGAGUACAGACUACAAGAGACACAUGCCAGCUGUUAGGAGCCUAUUGUAAAAUAUCUGAAUGCCCUGGACCAAAGCCAGUCCACACUGAAGUCCCCCUCCAAAAUGCAAUUUGACCCAGUUAGCUCUGCAUUAGUUUACUUAAAUAUCAUCCGGCAACGUUCACAGGCCUAUAACAAGGUAGAGAAGACAGGAAGUUUUAACAAGAAUAUUGCAUUAGUGAUUUAUUUGCUUCCCCUUUUUUCCAAGGGGGUGGGGCAGGGUGGUCUGACUUCUCUUUUCCUGAUAACUUUUAAAUGGUACUUCUGACCAAACCAGGCUUGAGAAGUGCCUGUGAGUACAGAGGUCCCAUUAGGCCACGGCCUCUGAAGGUCUAGAUGAGGUUGUGGACCCUUCAAAGAUAACACAAGACUUUGUCAUUAAAGUGUUCGUUUGGGUAAAGUUUUAAAAACUUACUGGGGUCAAAUCUACUCGGCAGGACAGACAUGUACAUAAAUCGCUGAUCCCUGUGAAUCAGAGGGUUCAACAGGAACAGUGCUGCCACGUUAGCUCAGCAGUGACUCACGCAGAAAACUGCAACCUCGUACAAAGAACCGACGGAACGAGCACAGACCUUUGGGAUAGUUGACGACGUAGACGAGGUUCCCCCAGCCGGCCUCGGGGGCGUGCAGGAUGCCCUCGACCAGCCGGACCCCCCGCAUGCACUGCGACACCGGGUUCCUGUAGCGGAGCCCGCACGCCCCGGGGAACUGCGCCGUCACCGUGGACAGCAGCACCGUGCCGUCGUCCUCCGACGGGAUCUCGAUGGGCUCAUCGUUCUCGUCCUCCGUCACCCGGAUAUACUCCGACAUCCUCGCUGGACGCUAUUGAACUGCACAGGGGGAAAGCAGCGUGAGCGACCACCCUCUGCCCCCCGGCUCGGCUUUCAUCUCCCUCGCCCCGAGGCACCGCUGGGUUUAUUGCACAGCGGGGGACACCGAAACGCGCCGUUCACUGUCACACUGACACCGAAGCCUCCGGCCCUGCCGUACCGACACACGGACCGACACCUCGGGCCGUCCCGGAGCUACGGAGGGACCGAAGCGACGAGUCCCCGAGCACGGCGGGAGGGUGCCACCGGCUCCCGCCGCGGGGCCUGCUCAGCACAGCCCCUCUGGGCCCCGCCGCCUGCCAGGCCCGCCCAAGCCUGCCCCCUCCGUGCGCGGCUCCGCCCGCCCCAGCCCCGCGGGCAGCCCGGUCUCGCCGGCCCCGCGCUCCGCUCACCGGCCAGGGAAGGGAACGGCGUCCCCGGAGCCGCUCGGUGCCCCUCAGUGCCCGCUCAAUGCCCGCUCCGCCCGCCGCGCUCCGCCGGCGCCGCACAAAAUGGCGGCCGCGGCCCCUCAGCGGCCGGGCCGGGCCCGGGCCGAACCAUUCCCGGCGGCCGGAGGGGGAGGUUGCGGCGGGGCGCUGCGGCCGCGGGGCCACACGGAGCUCCGACUGUGCCCCAGCGCGUCCCGCUCGCUUCCAGUCGGAGCUCGGCCGGUGCCUCCCGGCACCAGAGGCGAUGGGCGAGGAAGCUGCCCGAGCCCCGCUCCCCCCGGCGCGGGGCCGGUGGUGCGGCCCUGCCCGCGUCUGCGCGAGCGCGGGAGCUGCCGGGAGCCGGCGGCGCGCGGGCCGUGAGGGAGGGACGGGACGGGAGCGGGACCGGCGGGGAGACCCUCGGCACGGAGCGGCUGUGCCUCGCUCCCACCGCGCUGCCAGAGCUCCUGACUGAAAAAAAACCAACCCCAACUCGGUCACUUGGUCUGUUCAACGUGGAGGAGACUGAGGGGAGACCUCAUUGGGGUCUUCAGCAUCCUCGUGCGGUGCCGCACCAUCUCUGCUCUAUGUGAGCAGUGACAGGACCCAGGGAACGGCUGGAGCUGUGUCACGGCAGGGUCAGAACAGGACAGGAGUGUUGGAGAUGCUGAGCACAGCAAUCGUUUGGAAUCAGCCUCGCCCUGGUGGUGCCUGUGUUUAAACCCGAAAAUUGGAGCAGGACUCAGACCCUCCCACUGGCAGACACGGUCAGAUCAACCCAUCUGCAAGUCGGCUCCCUUGCCUUUCUGGAGCAUCCAGCAGCAGAGCCUGGGAAGGAUUUCUGCCCGUGAUUCUCAGAGCUGGUGUAGUAACUCCCAGUGUGGAAGAGCCUGAGCUUCCAUCAGCACAGACUGGCAUAAGCCAAAGGAGUCUCCAGUGAACCCAGCACUUCAUUCCAGAUGUGGCUGAGGGAAGAAAACGUCAUGCAAAGUGCAAGGCUGACACCUGGAGGGACUGUGAGAGGCAGCCGGGGAGCCUGGAGCAGCCAGACAUCCUGCAGCACACAUGGCUGGAUCUUCCAUGUCUAUUUUUAGGAGAAGAAACAUAGAAGCUCUGACUGUGUCACCUAAUUAUUCACUUCCAUGCUCAGGAAUGUCUGGAUCAAAACUUACCUUGCUCAAUUUUGUCUGGACUCUCCUUCCUGCAAAGCAGCCUGGCAUCAGCAUGGUGAAGUGCCCAAGUCCAUACCUUCAGGGCUGUGUGUGUGUUCCCAAAGAGAUCAGCAAAGCAUUCAAGUCAAGAAUUAGCUUGCUGCCUUCCAGAGAAUUCAUCAUUUCCAGUUUGCAAGCUUGAAGAGUGAAAUCCAGGAAGCAUCAAUAAAUCUACUUUGACAGUGGAGUAAAGAGCUGCAAAAGGAGUAACCUGUCAAGGUAAUGUGACUUAAUUUCUCAGAGAAAGAUCCAUUUUUAUAAAUGAAAUAAAAAUGCCAGCAAAGUCAAAUA